rnacentral:tRNA from 1 species
GUUAUAUUAGUAUAUAGUAUGUUUGAUUUCCAAUUAAAAGGAGGAGGAUAUAGUU